GAAAAUUGGGCAGACUAGAUGGGCCGAAUGGUUCUUAUCUGCCGUCACAUUCUAUGUUUCUAUGUUUCUAUGUGUGUAUUUAUUAAAGACUGAAUACUCAUUGCCUUAUCUUGCCUUGUGAGCUCCUUACCUGUAGUUACAGGUAACACAAAUAAUAUCUGUCUGUAAGAAAAGGCUGAGUCUGGUAGAGAAUUAGACUCUAUUAUUAAAAAAAAACAAAAAAAAACUAUUUUGUAAAAUGAAUCACUGCAUGUUUAAACUUACCUAAAUGUUCUCCAUCAACCUCCUAAAUGUGAAUGAAGCCUGCCGUAAGCAGCUGGGAGGGACUGAAAGAACAGAGACCCAGGUACCUAUACUAGUCGUUAAUCUAAAUUAUUAAUGCACUUACCCAAAAAAGCUGCAGCCCUGUGUUUCAGUGGCAAAAUGGGGAUUUGAACAACUGACAGCCUAAACUGUUUAAACUAUAGGCUUCCAUCUGUACCCCAUAUGCCAUUCGUCAUAAUCCCGGAUAUGGUGGAAUACAUAGAAGAGAUCCAGGUAGUCACCUUAUGGAAGUGCUGUUUGCUGGGUCUUCAGGGAAAGAGACCCUGGCUGUAAAGUGACAAAAAGAAAAUAGGCGCACCGACCUCACUACUCCAGACCUCCGUUCCGACUAUCACCACGCCGGCCGACGCUAUAUUCGUACCGACGUUGUUACCGAAACAAUUUACCCAUGCAGCCAGGCGCUAAUGACGCGCAAAAUCACGCAAGUCACCUGACUUCACUUAUACAUCUAUUUCUUAAUACAUAAGCCUUGUUUUUUCACCACACUAUAAUAUGAACCACUGUAACUGUAAUAUCUACUAUAUACAUAGGUUUUAAUCUGUUUUAUGAAUUUAAUUAUGUUGAUUGUGAUUGGCUGUCCUCAGUUUUGGAACCAAUUUUAAUCACUCUUACUCCUACGAUACCUGGCAGUAUGGGUUUAAAUGUUUUAUUCCAUUUUGAAGAAGCCAUGUAGGCGAAACGCGUUGUACAAAUUUAAAGCUAAAUAAAGGUUUGUUUUUUUUGGUCACUUGUUUGUGCCAGUCAUCUUUUUAAAUACACUCUGAUUUAUUUUUUUACCUGGCAUUUUAUUAUUCUGCACUCCAAGAUAUAGGUGGGGAUCAUACCACCAACGCUAACAUCAAAGAGCAGUUAGCCUGCUCUAUACUUGCGAGUACUAUUUUUAUUUAUUUAAUACUGAUAUUUUAAUACAAUGAGCACUAUCAGUUGUCUUUUUACCCCUCACCAGAGCGUUGGACAUUCCCCUGAUGGAUUAUACCGUUGUACGCCCUUCACGCUAGAGCUAGUUAUUGCUCUCAUAAAUGUGAGUUUAUUCC